UGCGCACCCGGCUUGGCUUGCCAUCUUUAUUUACUUUUGUGAGUGCUGUGAUUUGUAGGCGGAUCUUCUCGCAUCCCAUCUGCCAUGCUGUGAUUUUGCUUGCUUGAUUGCUGUAUUUGGAGAAAAGACAGAGAAGACUAUAUGGAUUCUAAAACCAUUGAACCACAUCAUGUGCCAGUUGCAUCAUCCAAUGUCAUUUCGCGAAGUGAUAAAAUAAUGCCAUCAAAAUCGCUUUCCUCCUCCUGUUCCAGAUCUGGCACACUAACUACAUCCCGACUUCCUGUGCUUGUAAUCAGCGAAACCAGCCCUUUAGUACAAAAUGCAUGUGUACCCCGUCCGUUAGACAAUUUGCUCGACGCUGGUGCUUCAUCGAAAACACGUCUUCCUACUAGGCAAACAAACUCAUCUGCUUCCUCUAGUUUUAAGGCACCCCAUAAGCCCCUUCCGGUCCUUCACACAGUCUACCGACCAAUUGUGGAACCUUUGAAUUUGCCUCAAUCUUCUGGAUCUAUUUCUAAUACCAGUGAUUUGUCGAAAUCCCGUCUUCCCGUACUUCCAUCUGUACAAAUAGAAACACCUAAAACGAAUUUGCCUUCAUCUACUACAGGUGUCCCCCGAGAUACGACUGUAUUUGGGACCGAAAAAAUGUCCCAAAGCAAGGCGUAAGUCGAAAAAGUCGUAUAUCGAAUAUCUAAGAAUAUAAAGUUUAUAACCGAAGUUGAAGAAUUGGAAUUUAUGAUAUCGUGUAUUUUAUUAAAAAUAAUGUUCGAUAAUGUAAUAAUUAUAUUUAAAAAACCGUACACAAUAUAUAUAUUCAAGAUACGGUAGUUGUGCAAUCUUUGGAAAUGUAAUGUAUAACGGUUAUGAGCCCAGAUAUUCAAAAAAAUACAUAAAUUUCUUGUCAAUGACAACUUUUAACUGUCAAAAUCAAAAUCGUCGUAUCUGCGAAUCGUCGUAACUCGAGGGGGUCGUAACUCGGGGGACGCCUGUAAUCCCUUUUCCGUGGAAGUUUUGACGGAGAUUAUGAUAGAAAUGUCAAUGAAGGUAGAUUUAAUUUACGAUACAAUGUAUCACAAAAAUGCCACAGCCAGAAAAGUGUCUAUUAAUUUUUUUUUUUGAUGAAGCAGGUUUUAACGAAAAAUUAAAAUCGGAUAGCCUCUUUUUGUUAGACACUGCACAAAAACUUAUAUUUUAUGUUACAAGUGUUAAAGAUAUAGAAGGUAAACUCAACUUAGUUUUAGAAGUAAUGUUCGAUCGCAAAUUUUUGUCUACUUGUAGUUGGUAGUUGGACCCAGUCUCGUAGUACAGUCGUCAACUCGUACGACUUAACAACAUGCCCGUCAUGGGUUCAAUCUCCAAAUAGACCGUGCCGCCAUACGUAGGACUGACUAUCCUGCUAUGGGGGGAACCAAUUAGUCACUGAAAGCCAAGCCCAUAAGUGGGUACAGGCAGGCCUUGACCGACAUCGGUUGUUGACCCAAAGAAGAAGAAGAAGAAGAAGUAGUUGGUCGGGAAAAAGUAGUGUAGGUGCACGUAAGAUAGAUUUUAAUCGAUUUAUAUACGUACUUCACUUAUUUAGAGUUGUAGGAGCUAACGAUUAUCUUGAGGCUACGGAUACAAUAGUAAAAAAGUUUCUUAUGAAGAAACUAUGGAAUGCGUUGACUGCAAGCGAAGCAAAAAAACGAAAAACCGAAGAAUUGCUGUGAUUAACAAAAUCAAAUUAUUGUAAAAAGAUGACAAAGAUGAAUUUGUUAAAAGAUGUGAUGGUUUGUUAACUAGUUAUGUAAGUAAUAAGAUCUAUAUACUUGAAUAACAAAUUAACUUUUACAACAA